CCUACGGGUGGCAGCAGUAGGGAAUAUUGCUCAAUGGGGGAAACCCUGAAGCAGCAACGCCGCGUGGAGGAUGAAGGUUUUCGGUAUGUAAACUCCUUUUGUUAGUGAAGAAAAUGACGGUACCUAACGAAGAAGCACCGGCUAACUCCGUGCCAGCAGCCGCGGUAAUACGGAGGGUGCAAGCGUUAUUCGGAUUCACUGGGCGUAAAGAGCGCGUAGGCGGGAUAGCAAGUCAGAUGUGAAAUCCUAUGGCUUAACCAUAGAACUGCCUUUGAAACUGUUAUUCUAGAGUAUGGGAGAGGUAGGUGGAAUUCUUGGUGUAGCGGUAAAAUCCGUAGAGAUCAAGAGGAAUACUCAUUGCGAAGGCGGCCUGCUAGAACAUAACUGACGCUGAUGCGCGAAAGCGUGGGGAGCAAACAGGAUUAGAUACCCGGGUAGUC
rnacentral:rRNA from 1 species